AAUGACAGUUAACUUCUACCAAUUUCAGCCAGUCUGCCAGAUAUCUGCAUGCAAACUGAAGGGUGGCUUGUCUGUCUGACCCUUUGUCCUUUUUGGAAGAAGCGAAUCAGUAGCAGAUGCAGUUGGGUUAGGAAUGAAGCACAGAUAAUUGUGAGGUGUAGCCCAGAUCAACUAUCCCUCAAAUUGUCACAAAGGGUGAAUUAGAGCAGAACAGAAUGGACUAGAACAGCAAAUAGAGCGUAUGAUGUUUAGUAAAGCAACCUCAUGAAGGAGAUAAUAUCAUCCAACUUUUACAAGUGAGAAAACUGAAGUUCGUUUUUCUCUUUCCUAAGUCUCCAUGACUCAUUAGCAGCUGAGCCACAAUAGUCCCCCAAAUGUGCUGACUGCUACUUCAGCGUUUUUCCUGCUACAUCUGCAGCCACCAUAGUUCCCAAAAGUUGCCUGACAACAGAAUUAAGAUAGGAUUAUUGGGUGUGAAGCACCAACACGGAAACUGUCUCUUCGUAAAGCCUUAACCCUGACACUGUGAGGACCAGAGUGUUUUCUGGGGAGAGGUUCUGUAGCUUUUGACAGACUCUCCAAAGAGGUCCAUGACUCCGUCAUGAUGCUGACGUCACUCCUCUGAAAUGUAUUUCUCAAUGUGAGUCUCUCAUAAAGUUCACAAAGAACUGGGAGAGACAGCCACAGUUUGUUUUGUUGAGGUAUAAUGAGUCUUUUUCCAUUAGGAAGAAAUUACAAUCCUCUCGAAAUUAUUUCUCUUAUUUUCCCAAAUCACUCUAGGAUUGUGAAUGGAAUCAUUCUCUAUGGCUUUGCUCUCAAUCCACCAGCUCCAUGGCAGUUUUCAGAGUCUGUCACUCUGUCAUUUUACUUCCCUUCAUAUGCAGCUUAAGUUCCAUAGUCAUUAUAAUCACUCUUUUGCAUACACUCAGUAUUUUGUCUUUUUUGCUUUGACAAAUAAUCCUGGCAAAACAAUAACUCUGGUUAAUGUCAGCUCUGUAGUAUACUCUAUCUCGGGAAGCUACAUGUCUUUGGAACUAACACAAACGUGUCGCGUGAUCUCACUUGCUCUUAGUGCUGCUCUGCGAUCCUACAUUUCCCUAGACCAGUGGCGGUCAAACUUUAACAUGCGUCAGAAUCACCUGUGUUUUACACAGAUUGCUGGGCCCUGCCUGGAGUUUCUGAUUCAGUAGGCAUAUUAGCUAUUCAUUGCUGUAGAACAGAUCACCUCAAAACUUAGCACCUUACAACAGACUU
rnacentral:lncRNA from 1 species